GCAGCCGCCGCGGUAAUACAGAGGGUGCGAGCGUUAAUCGGAUUUACUGGGCGUAAAGCGUGCGUAGGCGGCUAAUUGAGUCGGAUGUGAAAUCCCCGAGCUUAACUUGGGAAUUGCAUUCGAUACUGGUUAGCUAGAGUGUGGGAGAGGAUGGUAGAAUUCCAGGUGUAGCGGUGAAAUGCGUAGAGAUCUGGAGGAAUACCGAUGGCGAAGGCAGCCAUCUGGCCUAACACUGACGCUGAGGUACGAAAGCAUGGGGAGCAAACAGGAUUAGAUACCCCUGUAGUCCCUGUCUCUUAUAC
rnacentral:rRNA from 1 species